AAAAACCUCAUGAAACCCAAACAAGCAUCGAGUCCAAAGUCCGUGUAAACAACUCGUCCUCCCCCGGCUCCCCCCUUCAUUCACCUGCAGAGUGAUGAAAGGGAGUCUGAUGUGCUCGUCAGUUUGCUGGAGGUUGUGCUCCUGGGGGGGUUUGACCCUAACGGGCAUCUGUUGGUCUCUGACGUGGGUGCAUGUUCUGUCCUGCAGAGGGCGCUCUACAGCUCCUGAUGCUAGAACAGAAACCAGCUGAAGAGAACUCACUCACCACUGUUGACUUAGGAGCCUCACUGCAAAUUUCUUUCCAGG